AGAGACUUGAAAACUAUUGUUAUUGAAAAAUAGGCAUAUGAGAUUCGUCCACGUAAGUAUGAGUAAAAAUUUUACCCAUGAUAACGUGGAUGAAUCUCAGACAUCUAUUUUUCAAUCCAACGGUAGUUUUUAGGUUUCU
rnacentral:pre_miRNA from 1 species